rnacentral:rRNA from 1 species
AUGAGUAGCGAAAGACGGGUGAGAAUCCCGUCCACCGAAUGCCUAAGGUUUCCUGAGGAAGGCUCGUCCGCUCAGGGUUAGUCGGGACCUAAGCCGAGGCCGAAAGGCGUAGGCGAUGGACAACAGGUUGAUAUUCCUGUACCACCUCCUCACCAUUUGAGCAAUGGGGGGACGCAGGAGGAUAGGGUAAGCGCGGUAUUGGAUAUCCGCGUCCAAGCAGUUAGGCUGGGAAAUAGGCAAAUCCGUUUCCCGUAAAGGCUGAGCUGUGAUGGCGAGCGAAAUUUAGUAGCGAAGUUCCUGAUUCCACACUGCCAAGAAAAGCCUCUAGCGAGGUGAGAGGUGCCCGUACCGCAAACCGACACAGGUAGGCGAGGAGAGAAUCCUAAGGUGAUCGAGAGAACUCUCGUUAAGGAACUCGGCAAAAUGACCCCGUAACUUCGGGAGAAGGGGUGCUUCUUAGGGUGUUAAAGCCCCGAGAAGCCGCAGUGAAUAGGCCCAGGCGACUGUUUAGCAAAAACACAGGUCUCUGCGAAGCCGUAAGGCGAAGUAUAGGGGCUGACGCCUGCCCGGUGCUGGAAGGUUAAGAGGAGCGCUUAGCGUAAGCGAAGGUGCGAAUUGAAGCCCCAGUAAACGGCGGCCGUAACUAUAACGGUCCUAAGGUAGCGAAAUUCCUUGUCGGGUAAGUUCCGACCCGCACGAAAGGCGCAACGAUCUGGGCACUGUCUCAACGAGAGACUCGGUGAAAUUAUAGUACCUGUGAAGAUGCAGGUUACCCGCGACAGGACGGAAAGACCCCGUGGAGCUUUACUGCAGCCUGAUAUUGAAUGUUGGUACAGCUUGUACAGGAUAGGUAGGAGCCUUGGAAACCGGAGCGCUAGCUUCGGUGGAGGCAUCGGUGGGAUACUACCCUGGCUGUAUUGACCUUCUAACCCGCUGCCCUUAUCGGGCAGGGAGACAGUGUCAGGUGGGCAGUUUGACUGGGGCGGUCGCCUCCUAAAAUGUAACGGAGGCGCCCAAAGGUUCCCUCAGAAUGGUUGGAAAUCAUUCGCAGAGUGUAAAGGCACAAGGGAGCUUGACUGCGAGACCUACAAGUCGAGCAGGGACGAAAGUCGGGCUUAGUGAUCCGGUGGUUCCGCAUGGAAGGGCCAUCGCUCAACGGAUAAAAGCUACCCCGGGGAUAACAGGCUUAUCUCCCCCAAGAGUCCACAUCGACGGGGAGGUUUGGCACCUCGAUGUCGGCUCAUCGCAUCCUGGGGCUGUAGUCGGUCCCAAGGGUUGGGCUGUUCGCCCAUUAAAGCGGUACGCGAGCUGGGUUCAGAACGUCGUGAGACAGUUCGGUCCCUAUCCGUCGCGGGCGCAGGAAAUUUGAGAGGAGCUGUCCUUAGUACGAGAGGACCGGGAUGGACGCACCGCUGGUGUACCAGUUGUUCUGCCAAGGGCAUCGCUGGGUAGCUAUGUGCGGACGGGAUAAGUGCUGAAAGCAUCUAAGCAUGAAGCCCCCCUCAAGAUGAGAUUUCCCAUUCCGCAAGGAAGUAAGAUCCCUGAAAGAUGAUCAGGUUGAUAGGUCUGAGGUGGAAGCGUGGUGACACGUGGAGCUGACAGAUACUAAUAGAUCGAGGACUUAACCUA